rnacentral:rRNA from 1 species
CAAGGAAGGCAGCAGGCGCGCAAAUUACCCACUCCCGGCACGGGGAGGUAGUGACGAAAAAUAACGAUACGGGACUCAUCCGAGGCCCCGUAAUCGGAAUGAGUACACUUUAAAUCCUUUAACGAGGAUCAAUUGGAGGGCAAGUCUGGUGCCAGCAGCCGCGGUAAUUCCAGCUCCAAUAGCGUAUAUUAAAGUUGUUGCGGUUAAAAAGCUCGUAGUCGAAUCUGUGUCGUGCGCCGCCGGUUCAUCGCUCGCGGUGUCAACUGGCGUGUCGCAGGACGUCCUGCCGGUGGACUUAGCUUCGGUCGUCGGGCGUGCCGUCCUUUAACCGGGACGCGCGUUCGCGGUCGCGGCGGUCCAACUUCAACAAUCCCACCGCGGUGCUCUUCGCUGAGUGUCGAGGUGGGCCGGCACGUUUACUUUGAACAAAUUAGAGUGCUUAAAGCAGGCUAAAAUCUCGCCUGAAUACUGUGUGCAUGGAAUAAUGGAAUAGGACCUCGGUUCUAUUUUGUUGGUUUUCGGAACCCCGAGGUAAUGAUUAAUAGGAACGGAUGGGGGCAUUCGUAUUGCGACGUUAGAGGUGAAAUUCUUGGAUCGUCGCAAGACGAACUUAAGCGAAAGCAUUUGCCAAAAACGUUUUCAUUGAUCAAGAACGAAAGUUAGAGGUUCGAAGGCGAUCAGAUACCGCCCUAGUUCUAACCAUAAACGAUGCCAGCUAGCGAUCCGCCGACGUUCCUCCGAUGACUCGGCGGGCAGCUUCCGGGAAACCAAAGCUUUUGGGUUCCGGGGGAAGU